rnacentral:lncRNA from 1 species
CAUCCUUGCUCAAUUCUCCGAGAAAAUCGAGCUUGCACUCAGUGACGUUCACUCCCCGUAGUGCACAGCAUGAAAUGGACAACACACGUUUUUUUUCCCGUAGAGGCGUCCCCUGUGCCGUGAGACUCCACACGUAGCCUCAAUGGCCCACAGUGGCACAACACGGAAACGACCCACGUUGAUGCAGUAGGAACUUGGGGAAGUUUCCGUACGCCGCCGGAACGCACUUUCAGUCCUGGACAGUCCCAGUCACAUCCGGGCUCUGUAUUUUUAGCAUUAUUUAUUCCGCAAUUUUUGCCGCAACCAACACUUGACACGGAGUGGACAGGAGAGACUUCCCGUGUGUCGACAGGCAGUUUGCACGUGCUGAGCAGGAAGUAAAAAGAGUCCCUCGCAGGGGUCCAGGUAGAGGUGAAUGAGGAGAGUCGCUAGACCAUUAACAGGAUGAACCUCUGAAGAGUCUGCGAGACAAGGCAUCGCAAGUCGUGUGAAUAGAACAAGCAGCCUGGUCCUGCUCCUGAAGUCCGCGUACAGCCGGAGUCACUUUCGCUGCAUCGACUGUGUCAAAGCAUCAGAGGAAAUUUGUCUUCCACAGCUGCAGUGUCCCCCUUCACGGCAUUGUCUCGAAAAGGUCUUCUGUGGAGCUAGGCGCACGGAGUAGCGGCACGUCAGUGGCGAGUUUUUUGCCUCUCUUGUUUUUGGUUUUCCGGCCCCGCUGUUUGAGGUUCGCAGGAGUGGAACCUGUCAAGUUUAUCGUGGCGGUAUGAGCCUCAGGCUCUAAAGAGAGAGAGGGGCCCUCGACGGUCCUACCGGCAGCCUCUUUUGCGGCUGCAGCCAAUGCCUCGGCGUUGUGGGCCUCUUCUUCUGCCUCGGCCAGCUCUCGGCUCUCUUGCCUCUGCAAGGUGAUCGAGAGCUGUCUGUGGCGCCUCUGUAAUACACACCAUGCUGUCCCCAGAAUAACAAGCAGCAGGCUUGCAUUGGCGGCUCCGAUGGCAACGACGAAAUACCACGGCAUGCUGCCGAUCAUCAUAGGCUCAUUCGUCGUAGAUGUACUUCUCGUGAUGACUCGUGUGGUACGAGUCGUCGAUCUGGUUGACCACCUGGUUGUUGAAGGGGCAACUGUGGAGGAAGACCCUCCCGUGAACCACAUUUCGCAAGCUGGGUUACAAAAACGCAUCUCAAAUCGUUCUUCGGGGCACUGCUUACCAUCAAGUGCCGCAUGCAUGAUAAUGUGUGUGUAACGAAGCUGCCUGCAAUUCACGCACGCUGACCACGCGCUUUGGUGGGUUUUGCAGUCUCGUCGUUUGGUUUUCUUGAGAAUAUCGGGGCCAAUGUAGUGUCCGCCGUUUGGCAGAUUGUGGCUUGAAUCACAAAAUGGUCGGCCUGGAAACGCACAAAAGAUCCGUAGGGUUGUCUACGUCGGUAGUGCGUGUGGGCAGAAGCCGGACCGACUGUCACGAGCAUCUGUACAAACUGUGUAAUAUAACUCAGAAGUGGCCACUGGAGUCUGUCGUGCUUACUGCUUGACCGACCCCUUUUUGUGUCUCCUCUAUGCAACAAGCUGAUCGCUCUGCCUGAAUUUUUUACAUGAACGCCCCUUUAUUGGAGGUGGAACACCGCCAAGCCGAAAAUGUAUAUGGAGACAUCUACUUCUUGAAUCUGGAAUUAGGAGGUAUAUUUCUAUACACGAUGUUUAGUGGCGUGCGUUUAGCAUCGAAGCGGAGUAACAAGCUUAGAAUUCAUUAGGAUGGCUUUUGUCCUACCCUGUUCCAAAUGCUGGGUUUCAAUUCAGGGAGCCGUUAAAGGACACGCUUUUGCUGGAGUGAAGAAAAGGCUUUACAUGAAAUGUAUGUCACCAGCGCACCUACCAUCACAGGGUUGCUUCUCAAGCAGCAGACACGGCUUUCCGCCUGGUCGUGGAUUUCUCUUUAUGGUGAAGAACCUUGUCUUCCUGCAUUGCUGGUCACACAUCGACCACUCUCCCCACUCUCCCUCGCAAUCCAGCUCCUUGACGCUGUUCGGACGGAAUUCGACGAUCGGGCAAGAAGAGUCCGCGAAGAACCCAUGUGGCGGGCAGUUCUGUGGCUUACCCUUCACUUGCAGCUCUUUCAAAGUUGCGGGGAAGUCUCCUUUUGUUUUAUAGCGGAUAGAGAUCGCCCUGACUCCUCGAAUAUCCAUUUCACUCCACUUGUACACAACUCCUUGUUCUGCCUCGUACAUGCCUUUCUGGUGGGGUGCUGGCAACGGUAUUGGGAGGUCGCCGCCAAUGCCCCCUUUUAGUCUGGCUGCUUCGGCUGUCUCGGUGUGAUGGAAAAUGAAGUAGAG